UACGGAGGGUGCAAGCGUUAUCCGGAUUUACUGGGUUUAAAGGGUGCGUAGGUGGGUUGGUAAGUCAGUGGUGAAAUCUCCGGGCUUAACUCGGAAACUGCCAUUGAUACUAUCAAUCUUGAAUUAUCUGGAGGUAAGCGGAAUAUGUCAUGUAGCGGUGAAAUGCUUAGAUAUGACAUAGAACACCCAUUGCGAAGGCAGCUUACUACGGAUUGAUUGACACUGAGGCACGAAAGCGUGGGGAUCAAACAGG
rnacentral:rRNA from 1 species